AGCGAACGCUGGCGGCAGGCUUAACACAUGCAAGUCGAGCGGUCGUAGCAAUACGGCAGCGGCAGACGGGAGAGUAACACGUGGGAACGUGCCCUUUAGUUGGGAACAACCAAGGGAAACUUUGGCUAAUACCGGAUACGUCCUUACGGGGAAGGAGUCAUCGCUAAAGGAUCGGCCCGCGUCUGAUUAGCUAGUUGGUGGGGUAAUGGCCAACCAAAGCGACGAGCAGUAGCUGGUCUGAGAGGAUGAUCAGCCUCAGUGGGACUGAGACACGGCCCAGACUCCUAAGGGAGGGAGCGGUGGGGAAUAUUGGACAAUGGGGGCAACCCUGAUCCAGCUAUGCCGCGUGAGUGAUGAAGGCCUUAGGGUUGUAAAGCUCUGUCGUUGGAGACGAUAAUGACGGUACCCAAAGAAGAAGCCCCGGCUAGCUUCGUGCCAGCCGCCGCCGUAAAAC
rnacentral:rRNA from 1 species